ACGCAAUUCCUCAAUAGCUGUCACCGAUUGUGUUUGAUUUUCGCUCUUCCUCUACGAUUGAAGUUAGCCUACAAUCUAGUCGAAGUUAGUGCUGCAAUCAUCUUCAAUUUCUAACCCACGACUGGAGAAGUUUCUGGGCAUGAUCAAAUUCAUCCAAAUUAGUGAAAUCGCCUAGCAUUACCAAUUGGUAUGCAUAUAGAAACUUCCUGAUUUUAAAAGGGGAAAAAAAAAAAAAGCUACGCAUGUUGGAGUCUAGCUGGGCUCGUUUCGGAAUUAAAGAGGUAAUUUGCCCCUCCAUUUUGUUGACUAUAGAGUAAAAGUAGGAUUCAUGUCUUUUAUAUUGUCUUACUUUUAGUGGAAGUAGAACUUACUGAAAACGCCAGAAAUUGAAGUUGUGGUAUAAUUUGCAUGUUUACUUAGUUUAACUUAACAUAGUUUUUGUUUUUCCUAAAUGAGAGUUGGUGCUAUUAGAGGAUUAUUUGAUGCACAGUUUGCAUGCUUGAAAAACUAGGACUAUACCAAUCUUUACUUUUAAUAGAUUGUGGGCUGGUCUUUCUAACGUUUAUGGAUUUGUUAAGUUAAACUUGCAGUCUAGUUUCAUGUUCUUUUUCUUAUAGUUCUUUGGUAGUACUUCAGGGAAUCCCUAAAAACAUUAAUCGAUUGAGAUAUCUUGUAGUCAGUUAAAUUUCAUUAAUGUUGUUGGGGCUUCUCUUCACUCAUUGGGUUUCAUCAUGAUCCACCAACAAUUAGCUGUGAAUUAUUUUUGAACUUUGUGAUGUUUAAUAAAUCAUGUGAAUAUGUACAGAAACACCUGAAGGAAGAGUAUAUAGAGAUAGACAGGACUUGGAUAGACUUACUAAAUCGAAUGUCCGCAGAAUAUAUAGCUGGGAUUGAUCAAUUCCUUACGUUUGCAGACAGUAAAAGAUAUGAAAGUUUGGUAUCUGUGUAGGAAUUGUGGGAAUCGUUAUAAUCUGGCAAGAGUGGUGGUGCGAGAGCAUCUAAUAUCCAAUGGUUUCUUAAGGAAUUACAAGAAUUGGGUUUAUCACAGUGAGUCCUACGUUCCUUUGCAUUGCAUCUAAAGUUUUGGCUUUGUUUUCUUGAUUCAGCCGAAGCUUACCUGUGCGAGUGCCUAAGGUCAUAAGAAU